UACGGGGGGGGUAAGCGUUGUUCGGAAUUACUGGGCGUAAAGGGCUCGUAGGCGGCCAACUAAGUCAUACGUGAAAUCCCUCAGCUUAACUGGGGAACUGCGUGUGAUACUGGAUGGCUUGGAUUUGGGAGAGGGAUGCGGAAUUCCAGGUGUAGCGGUGAAAUGCGUAGAUAUCUGGAGGAACACCGGUGGCGAAGGCGGCAUCCUGGACCAAUAUUGACGCUGAGGAGCGAAAGCUAGGGAGCAAACGGGG
rnacentral:rRNA from 1 species